AAAAAAUAUUAAUUAUAGCUCAAUUAAUCAACAAUUAAUCUUUUUCUAACUCUUUUGCUUACAAUGACUAAAAGAAAGGAAAGGGGGAAAUCAAAUUAUUUUCCUUUUCCAUCUUUUGGAGACUUCUAACGAAACACAAGUGAGAUUGAUUCAACUCGAAUGAAUGGGUUGUCAUGUUUCUAAAAAUCCAGUCAACCUAAGAAUUGAAUUCCUAACUUGACUCAAAUCCCUUCCCUUUAAUGUUCUUCCAUUUCCAGUGCAAACGGAGAACGCCAUUUUCCCUUCAAUUCUCCUCCCAACUAGAACAUGCGGCGGAAUCAAUUGAUCUUCUCCUUCGAAUUCUUCCUCAAACUCAUCACUAUCCGAGAACUGGAACACAUUGCUGGGGAUAUUCACAGGCAAGGAAGAACUCGAUUUCUUCUGCUUCUUUUUGUUGCCUUUCCGAUUACUAGUAUUUUCACGAUCCAUUUGUUUGAAUCCGAAGUGAUGGUGGUGGAGGAGGUGAUCUUGGUCGGAGAAGAUGAUAUCAGAUUCCUGGAACUCUUCGGCGGCCAUGUAACGUAAAAUUGAAGGAAAUGAAUAGCAGAGAUAGAAAUGAGAAUGGAACAGUAGAGAGAAGGAAAAGGGGAGAGAU
rnacentral:misc_RNA from 1 species